rnacentral:rRNA from 1 species
GAUGAACGCUGGCGGCGUGCUUAACACAUGCAAGUCGAACGGAAAGGCUCCUGCUUGCAGGGGUACUCGAGUGGCGAACGGGUGAGUAACACGUGGGUGAUCUGCCCUGCACUUCGGGAUAAGCCUGGGAAACUGGGUCUAAUACCGGAUAGGACCACAUUUUGGAUGGUGUGGUGGAAAGUUUUUCGGUGUGGGAUGAGCCCGCGGCCUAUCAGCUUGUUGGUGGGGUAAUGGCCUACCAAGGCGUCGACGGGUAGCCGGCCUGAGAGGGUGUACGGCCACAUUGGGACUGAGAUACGGCCCAGACUCCUACGGGAGGCAGCAGUGGGGAAUAUUGCACAAUGGGCGCAAGCCUGAUGCAGCGACGCCGCGUGGGGGAUGACGGCCUUCGGGUUGUAAACUCCUUUCGCUAGGGACGAAGCGCAAGUGACGGUACCUGGAGAAGAAGCACCGGCUAACUACGUG